rnacentral:antisense_RNA from 1 species
CUUGAGCGAGCCCAGCCGCAGCGGCGCGGCGCCGUCCCGGUCGCGGCCGUAGGUGGCCAGCACGGCCUGCGCCUC